AGCUAGACUCAAAAUCAACGGGAUACUCUCAGAUACUUUCCGUAUAUCAAACGGCACAAGACAGGGCUGUCCGCUGUCCCCGUUAUUAUUCAUCCUAAGCCUGGAACCCUUACUGAAUGCGGUGAGGAAAGAGUCGAGGGUAGAGGGGAUCUGGGUGGGGAAGCACCAAUAUAAGGUAUCUGCAUUCGCAAAUGACCUAUUAUUCACACUGACCAACCCUCCCGAAU